ACAGAAGACGAAGAGCUGGAAUAGAGCUCGCCUCGGCUCUGCUGGCCUUGGCUGCAGCUCUUCCAGAAACCCGGGGCGCCCACAGAAGAAUCUCUUACCUGGCUCUCUCUUCAGGGAUGACAUCAUCGGCUCACACCAGUCUUCCAGGACCACCUUCUGGAUGCCAAGGCUGCUGCUCGAGUACCUGCUGUGCACCUCUACCUCCUGGUACCCCAGCCACUCCCUCAAGUUGCCUGCAUGUUAUAUGGCCUAGCCAAGGAGCACGGAUUCCAGGAACCCACUACCAUACAGAGCAACUCCUUGUGGACCCCCCUGGGAUCAGGACAGCGAGGGACAAGCGACAAAGAGGAUCAUCAGUGGCCAGCUAGUUUCUCUGGGGUUCAAACCUUGAACCAGUGCCCUAGUGAGGGGGCACUGGCCAUGGCCCUUGACCUUUGCUCUGCUUGUGUCUUGAGUCUGAGCCCUUUCCUGUACAUCUGUGCUCGUGUUCAUCUGCUAGUGAACUGGAGUGCUGCCCUCCCCGAGGAGGGUCGUCCCUUGUGACUGAUCAUGCUGUCCUAACAAUGUCCUGAGCAAAAGGGUCCCUUUGGGAACCUCUCAGGAGGGGGACCCGGGUCAGGGGCGACCAGCAUCUUGCUGGCAACUCCGUGGGUGGGGUGGGGUGGGGUGCUUCCUUCUGGAAUGAGCACGUGGCUGACCCCCCAAGGCAUGUCCCCUCCCCCUCCUCCACCCACCUUCUCGGAGAUGUCCCUUUUGGGGUAGUGGGGACAUUAGGAGCAACCUCCUAGGGUUGUUGUGAGAAUUAAAUGAACUGCAGCAGCCUGAGGCAGGGCUGGGCAGAGACCUCAGCACAUGUUUGUUGAAAGGUUUGCAGGUGGAUCUAGUCCUCCCGUUCAUGGCUCAUGUGUCUCAACCAUUCUCUCGCAGACUCCUGCAGCCCCUAUGCCCAGGGCUCUCCUUGCGCCAGGCCUGUCGCGUCUUCCUGUGCCAUUUGCUGUUGUGCUCAGGUUCCACGAGCUGCCCAUCUCCACAGAAGAGCAGCUGGCAUUGCCCACCGGCCAUGCCGGCUGAAGAAAAGAAGACUGAGGACCCCAGGAUGCCCAGCGCGAGGACCCCAGGAAGCCCAGCGCGAGGACUCCACCCACGACGCCCAGCGCGAGGACUUCACGCACAACACGUUGCAACCCUCCUGGAUUAGGCCAAAGCCAUCAUCUGGAAUCCUGCGUGGGACCCUGGACACACGGACACAGACACCUGCCCCCAGGACCCUCCAACUGUAAAUCCCUCUACAGCCACGGGGACGCCUUGCACAUUUCCUGUGGGACAUGCUGGACCCAAGACUCUGGACCCUGGCCUCCCCUUGAGUAGAGAGACCCACCUACUGACUGAUGAACUGCGCUGACCCUGGGGUCAGGCAUGUGGCCUUGAUCCCUACCCAUGGACCCUGAGACUUGGGGGGGUGGGAGAAAGGCUGUUGUGUCUUCACUGUUGAGUCUACAUCUGUGAAAUGGGCUCAGGUUCCUACCUCACAGGGCUGUUGUGAGGCAGCCGCAAUGUGCUUAGAAGCAUGGGGCCUAGUGGCUCAUGGUGCUUUCAAUAAAUUUCUUGUUUUAAC
rnacentral:lncRNA from 1 species